GUGGGGAAUUUUGGACAAUGGGCGCAAGCCUGAUCCAGCAAUGCCGCGUGCAGGAAGAAGGCCUUCGGGUUGUAAACUGCUUUUGUACGGAACGAAACGGUCCUGGUUAAUACCUGGGGCUAAUGACGGUACCGUAAGAAUAAGCACCGGCUAACUACGUGCCAGCAGCCGCGGUAAUACGUAGGGUGCGAGCGUUAAUCGGAAUUACUGGGCGUAAAGCGUGCGCAGGCGGUGCUGUAAGACAGGCGUGAAAUCCCCGGGCUCAACCUGGGAAUUGCGCUUGUGACUGCAGCGCUGGAGUGUGGCAGAGGGGGAUGGAAUUCCGCGUGUAGCAGUGAAAUGCGUAGAUAUGCGGAGGAACACCGAUGGCGAAGGCAAUCCCCUGGGCCUGCACUGACGCUCAUGCACGAAAGCGUGGGGAGCAAACAGGAUUAGAUCCCCGAGUAGUCC
rnacentral:rRNA from 1 species